GGAGCAGCUUCUGGAGAGUCCGCAACUUCUGCGGCGCCGAAGGAUUCACAAUCUCAGGCAAAAGGACAGAAGAGUAACU
rnacentral:ncRNA from 2 species